UUGCAGAAAUGUUUCCUUGGGGAACUUCAAUGGUGCUUCAUUUUUCAUUUUGGAAUCUUGAUUAUAUGAAUGGAAAGCAACAACGCUUCUGCAAAUUUUCCGUGGUGGCGGUUUACCAUCCAAAUACGAUGCCAUUGAUUCCUAAUGUAGUUUCUCCUUUAGUUCAUCUAGACAAAAUUUCUAGGCAUUUAUUUUUUCUUCUUUCUAGUACAGGAUAGCGGCUCAAGCUAAAACUUACCAGAGUAUUCAGUUUGGCGAAUUUUAAUCUUCUAUCGUGCAUCAAUCGGCAUAUAUAUAAAUAAAUUAAGCUGCAAGACAAUAUAUCAAGGUACUUAAAUACCAAUGGUCAUAAAUUUUUCAAUAAUUUAAUACGAGACUAUUCUCAGAUUGUUCUGGCACUUGGAUAUAAUUUAUCCCUUGGCGAAGAACAUACGUAAGUACCAAACUUAGUUUUGCUACAAUUGGACCUCAAGUACUAAACUCCAGAAAUCUUAACCCUUCCAUCAAACUUAGUUUUUAAUUGCACAAGAAACAGAGACCUGAUCACGCUUUCAACAACUCCAUGGUAAGUAGGUCGAUCGCUCUCAAGGUUCAUGUUUGCUUGGUCGGCAACUUUCAACUUAAAUUUCGGAGGGAAGAACUAUACGUCGAACAUCUCAAAACCUUAGUUGAAACGGACAAAAGAAAACAUACUAGUUUCUAAUUUCUAUUAGAAAGAAGAGUCAGCAGGUGGACCGGUUCUACAGAUUGGGGGCGUUCACAUGGCAGACGUUCAGGCCACGUCAGGACAAGUCGGACACCGUGGGGCCACGACAUAAAUUUGCUAAAAACCGAUUAAAGAUGAAAAGGGGACGACAGAAGAGGCACGGAAAGGGAAAGAGAACUCACUCUUUCUUUUUCUACAAGCAGAAGGAUGACUGCAAAUCAAUCUCCGGCCAUGCUACAACCGGCAACAGAAACCCGCCCGCCGGCAGGGACCAUCAUCGACGGGCAAUGCUGGCCGAGUAACAUGCACAAUGGCAGUGACGGAGGCCCCUCAUCUCGACGCAGCCGGCACGGCAUGCAUGAGGAAGUGAAUCGAUCGAUGAGCGACGCUGCAACGUCCAACUGCAGUCAUCACGCCGAAGCCGCCUUCAAUCAAGUUUACGCCUCCAGCUCGUCGCUCUUCACCCGUCCCCCUCAUGAAUUUCUUGGGCUGCCACCGCCUCGUGCUUUCUUGAACUCUGUCCUUUCUUUGUCAUCAUCAUCUGCUGCGGCCGCUGCUUCGAGGGCGUCCGCAAAUGCGAAUCGUGUUCAAAGAUGAGGACAUGCAAAUAUGACAGAUAGAAAGGAGUUGGGUCGGUGAGAAUGGCUAAUUUAAUGCAGGGCUUUGGCCACUUAAAUUUUUUUACUUCUUUCGCCCUUUUGCGGAAAUUUUGGUACAUAUGAUCAUUAAUUUCUGUGUUUUAAUUGGGUAUAAAGUUGGCUGUGUUCUAAGAAA